UUACUGAGUUUACGCUCUAUAACCCUUUGUGAACAUACCUAUAACUGUUGCUUCGGCGGGUAGGGUCUCCGUGACCCUCCCGGCCUCCCGCCCCCGGGCGGGUCGGCGCCCGCCGGAGGAUAACCAAACUCUGAUUUAACGACGUUUCUUCUGAGUGGUACAAGCAAAUAAUCAAAACUUUUAACAACGGAUCUCUUGGUUCUGGCAUCGAUGAAGAACGCAGCGAAAUGCGAUAAGUAAUGUGAAUUGCAGAAUUCAGUGAAUCAUCGAAUCUUUGAACGCACAUUGCGCCCGCCAGCAUUCUGGCGGGCAUGCCUGUUCGAGCGUCAUUUCAACCCUCAAGCUCUGCUUGGUGUUGGGGCCCUACAGCUGAUGUAGGCCCUCAAAGGUAGUGGCGGACCCUCCCGGAGCCUCCUUUGCGUAGUAACUUUACGUCUCGCACUGGGAUCCGGAGGGACUCUUGCCGUAAAACCCCCAAUUUUCCAAAGGUUGACCUCGGAUCAGGUAGGAAUACCCGCUGAACUUAAGCAUAUCAAUAAGACGGAGGA
rnacentral:rRNA from 1 species